AGGUUACUGCUAUCGAGGUUCGACUAAGCCAUGCGAGUCGAAUGUAGCAAUACAUGGCGAACUGCUCAGUAACACGUGGACAACCUGCCCUUAGGACGGGGAUAAACCCGGGAAACUGGGUAUAAUACCCGAUAGGUCUCGAUUGCUGGAAUGCAUCGAGAUUUAAAGCUCCGGCGCCUAAGGAUGGGUCUGCGGCCUAUCAGGUAGUAGUGGGUGUAGCGUACCUACUAGCCUACGACGGGUACGGGUUGUGAGAGCAAGAGCCCGGAGAUGGAUUCUGAGACACGAAUCCAGGCCCUACGGGGUGCAGCAGGCGCGAAAACUUUACAAUGCUGGCAACAGCGAUAAGGGAACCUCGAGUGCCAGGUUACAAAUCUGGCUGUCGAGAUGCCUAAAAAGCAUUUCAUAGCAGGGGCCGGGCAAGACCGGUGCCAGCCGCCGCGGUAACACCGGCGGCUCGAGUGGUAACCGUUAUUAUUGGGUCUAAAGGGUCUGUAGCCGGCCGGAUAAGUCUCUUGAGAAAUCUGGCAGCUUAACUGUCAGGCUUUCAGGAGAUACUGUCUGGCUCGAGGCCGGGAGAGGUGAGAGGUACUUCAGGGGUAGGGGUGAAAUCUUGUAAUCCUUGAAGGACCACCAGUGGCGAAGGCGUCUCACCAGAACGGACCUGACGGCAAGGGACGAAAGCUAGGGGCACGAACCGGAUUAGAUACCCGGGUAGUCCUAGCCGUAAACGAUACUCGCUAGGUGUCGGCCACGGUGCGACCGUUGUCGGUGCCGUAGGGAAGCCGUGAAGCGAGCCACCUGGGAAGUACGGCCGCAAGGCUGAAACUUAAAGGAAUUGGCGGGGG
rnacentral:rRNA from 1 species